UUAAGCGACUAAGCGUACACGGUGGAUGCCCUGGCAGUCAGAGGCGAUGAAGGACGUGCUAAUCUGCGAAAAGCGUCGGUAAGGUGAUAUGAACCGUUAUAACCGGCGAUGUCCGAAUGGGGAAACCCAGUGCAAUUCGUUGCACUAUUGUUAACUGAAUACAUAGGUUAACGAGGCGAACCGGGGGAACUGAAACAUCUAAGUACCCCGAGGAAAAGAAAUCAACCGAGAUUCCCCCAGUAGCGGCGAGCGAACGGGGAGCAGCCCAGAGUCUGAAUCAGCUUGUGUGUUAGUGGAACGGUCUGGAAAGUCCGACGGUACAGGGUGAUAGUCCCGUACACCAAAAUGCACAGGUUGUGAACUCGAAGAGUAGGGCGGGACACGUGGUAUCCUGUCUGAAUAUGGGGGACCAUCCUCCAAGGCUAAAUACUCCUGACUGACCGAUAGUGAACCAGUACCGUGAGGGAAAGGCGAAAAGAACCCCGGCGAGGGGAGUGAAAAAGAACCUGAAACCGUGUACGUACAAGCAGUGGGAGCACCUUCGGGUGUGACUGCGUACCUUUUGUAUAAUGGGUCAGCGACUUAUAUUCUGUAGCAAGGUUAACCGUAUAGGGGAGCCGCAGGGAAACCGAGUCUUAACUGGGCGUUAAGUUGCAGGGUAUAGACCCGAAACCCGGUGAUCUAGCCAUGGGCAGGUUGAAGGUUGGGUAACACUAACUGGAGGACCGAACCGACUAAUGUUGAAAAAUUAGCGGAUGACUUGUGGCUGGGGGUGAAAGGCCAAUCAAACCGGGAGAUAGCUGGUUCUCCCCGAAAGCUAUUUAGGUAGCGCCUCGUGAAUUCAUCUUCGGGGGUAGAGCACUGUUUCGGCUAGGGGGUCAUCCCGACUUACCAACCCGAUGCAAACUACGAAUACCGAAGAAUGUUAUCACGGGAGACACACGGCGGGUGCUAACGUCCGUCGUGAAGAGGGAAACAACCCAGACCGCCAGCUAAGGUCCCAAAGUCAUGGUUAAGUGGGAAACGAUGUGGGAAGGCACAGACAGCCAGGAUGUUGGCUUAGAAGCAGCCAUCAUUUAAAGAAAGCGUAAUAGCUCACUGGUCGAGUCGGCCUGCGCGGAAGAUGUAACGGGGCUAAACCAUGCACCGAAGCUGCGGCAGCGACACUAUGUGUUGUUGGGUAGGGGAGCGUUCUGUAAGCCUGCGAAGGUGUGCUGUGAGGCAUGCUGGAGGUAUCAGAAGUGCGAAUGCUGACAUAAGUAACGAUAAAGCGGGUGAAAAGCCCGCUCGCCGGAAGACCAAGGGUUCCUGUCCAACGUUAAUCGGGGCAGGGUGAGUCGACCCCUAAGGCGAGGCCGAAAGGCGUAGUCGAUGGGAAACAGGUUAAUAUUCCUGUACUUGGUGUUACUGCGAAGGGGGGACGGAGAAGGCUAUGUUAGCCGGGCGACGGUUGUCCCGGUUUAAGCAUGUAGGCUGAUUGUCCAGGCAAAUCCGGAUAAUCAAGGCUGAGGUGUGAUGACGAGGCACUACGGUGCUGAAGUAACAAAUGCCCUGCUUCCAGGAAAAGCCUCUAAGCAUCAGGUAACAUUAAAUCGUACCCCAAACCGACACAGGUGGUCAGGUAGAGAAUACCAAGGCGCUUGAGAGAACUCGGGUGAAGGAACUAGGCAAAAUGGUGCCGUAACUUCGGGAGAAGGCACGCUGGUGUGUAGGUGAAGUCCCUGCGGAUGGAGCUGAGACCAGUCGAAGAUACCAGCUGGCUGCAACUGUUUAUUAAAAACACAGCACUGUGCAAACACGAAAGUGGACGUAUACGGUGUGACGCCUGCCCGGUGCCGGAAGGUUAAUUGAUGGGGUUAUCCGUAAGGAGAAGCUCUUGAUCGAAGCCCCGGUAAACGGCGGCCGUAACUAUAACGGUCCUAAGGUAGCGAAAUUCCUUGUCGGGUAAGUUCCGACCUGCACGAAUGGCGUAAUGAUGGCCAGGCUGUCUCCACCCGAGACUCAGUGAAAUUGAACUCGCUGUGAAGAUGCAGUGUACCCGCGGCAAGACGGAAAGACCCCGUGAACCUUUACUAUAGCUUGACACUGAACAUUGAGCCUUGAUGUGUAGGAUAGGUGGGAGGCUUUGAAGCGUGGACGCCAGUCUGCGUGGAGCCAACCUUGAAAUACCACCCUUUAAUGUUUGAUGUUCUAACGUUGGCCCCUUAUCGGGGUUGCGGACAGUGUCUGGUGGGUAGUUUGACUGGGGCGGUCUCCUCCCAAAGCGUAACGGAGGAGCACGAAGGUUAGCUAAUCCUGGUCGGACAUCAGGAGGUUAGUGCAAUGGCAUAAGCUAGCUUGACUGCGAGCGUGACGGCGCGAGCAGGUGCGAAAGCAGGUCAUAGUGAUCCGGUGGUUCUGAAUGGAAGGGCCAUCGCUCAACGGAUAAAAGGUACUCCGGGGAUAACAGGCUGAUACCGCCCAAGAGUUCAUAUCGACGGCGGUGUUUGGCACCUCGAUGUCGGCUCAUCACAUCCUGGGGCUGAAGUAGGUCCCAAGGGUAUGGCUGUUCGCCAUUUAAAGUGGUACGCGAGCUGGGUUUAGAACGUCGUGAGACAGUUCGGUCCCUAUCUGCCGUGGGCGCUGGAGAAUUGAGGGGGGCUGCUCCUAGUACGAGAGGACCGGAGUGGACGCAUCACUGGUGUUCGGGUUGUCAUGCCAAUGGCACUGCCCGGUAGCUAAAUGCGGAAGAGAUAAGUGCUGAAAGCAUCUAAGCACGAAACUUGCCCCGAGAUGAGUUCUCCCUGAGACUUAAGUCUCCUGAAGGAACGUUGAAGACGACGACGUUGAUAGGCCGGGUGUGUAAGCGCAGCGAUGCGUUGAGCUAACCGGUACUAAUGAACCGUGAGGCUUAACCUU
rnacentral:rRNA from 1 species